CUGCUUCUAACUUCUGGCAGCCUCUUCACUGAUAGGGGUUCGGGCCGCCCCGGACCUCUCACUCACCAUUCUGUUCUGAUUUUUUUUCUUGCAGAGUCUCGGCUCCAGGUGCUCCAGAAGUUUUUUUGUGUUGCUUAUGGUUGCGGUGCAGACCAGGGACUCCUCCUCCUGCGGUGGAGUGAUGCUGCAGCGGUCAAUCUCUCCUCUUCUGUUUGUUCGUACUGUUGUAAAGCUCCGCACCUAUGAAGAAUAGUUUUUUUUUUUUCCUCGCUUAGAAGUGCGCAAGAGUUUCUUCCUGUUGUUCUAUAUGUGUGCUUUCUUCUGGAGAUUUGGUUGCGGGGUGCAUACGGUGGCGUGGUUGUGUGGAAAAGCUACACUAGUUGGGUUUGUAUUGUUAUCUUUUGGUUUUUUUCUCUUCUAUGGUGAGGCGGAAGCUGGCCGUUCAGCGUACUGUUGUGGCGGUUGUGCAUUACGGUUGGCGUUGACAUCCAAGGAGUGGCGGUGUCCUACUAUCUCGUCAUGAUUUUGGUUGCUGUCAAUGAACUGAUCACGCGGCAUUGGUGGUGUCGUCUGUGGGUUGCGGUUGAAUUUUUUUUUCUUGUACCGAUUGAGAUGCUGGCAGCAAUUUAUUUUUUAAGAUCAACAGAGAGUUCUCAAGAUGUCGUCGACUAGGUUGGCGGCGUGGAGGUCGUGAUACAUAACUCAACUACCUUGCGGUUGUUCUGCGGUAGAGGUUCGAUGGUUAGAACUUGUCGGCGGUGUGGUUUCUAUGUUGGUAUAGUACAGUGCUAGGGUGUGGCUCAGUGCUGGAUUUAGUUUUUUUUCCGUUCUCUGCCCAUCGGUGGCGGUGCUAGAGCUGAGCGCGGAGGGUUGCUGUGAUCAACAUCUGGAGGCAUGCAAAUCUGAUGCACUUGAUGCAAGGGUAGAAUUGCAGGUUUAGAUUACACAGCAGAUUGUAGAAGUCACUGAGGACUGAUCUGCUUGCAUCAUUUCAUUGAGCUUAAUGCAAAGGGCUUCUAUUCACGAUCAGUCUGGUUCCACGAGUCUCAUUUAGUUCUGCUUCAGUUCCAGGUGCCAUCUCUUGAUUGUUUCUAGACUUAUAAAGGUUCAGUGCAGAACUGGAGGUAGUCUCUUGAUGCUGAAGUUUGGAAUUCUAGACUUCUUGGGUUCCCUUCUGGAGAUGGUUCUAUUGCUUUGAAUGUUGAUUUCUGAAACAAAUCCUCUUGUAGUUUUGUUGAUGUUUCCACUUAAGUGUAAUGCAUUCAGCAAUCUUGUAAAAUUUGUAUCCAUGAAACUUAUCAUAAAUCAAAGGUGAGGGUGUUUUGAAUUUCUUUGAA
rnacentral:lncRNA from 1 species